CUUUUUCGCAUUUUGCUCGCCGUUUCCGUGAUGAUUCCCCCUGGGAGUCGGGACGCACCGAGAAAUCACAUCAAAAGCCGUGCACGCGCUGUCGGGCCCGGAACGAGCUUUCCGAAACGUGGUCGCGGGCCCCGUGAUUCCAUCGGGAUCGUAAGUUGUGCCAUAGAACGCGGACGCGAGCGGAUUCCGUCCGUCGGGGAAGUCUCCUUUUCCGUAUUCUCGUCGUGCGGAAGCAGCGUUCCGCCAAAUUGCUCCGAAACGCUCUAGGGCGGCACCCGAGGCCGUGAAGGACUAGAAAAGAAUGAUUCGCCUC
rnacentral:misc_RNA from 1 species